GUGGGGAAUAUUGCACAAUGGGCGAAAGCCUGAUGCAGCAACGCCGCGUGAGGGACGACGGCCUUCGGGUUGUAAACCUCUUUUAGUAGGGAAGAAGCGAAAGUGACGGUACCUGCAGAAAAAGCACCGGCUAACUACGUGCCAGCAGCCGCGGUAAUACGUAGGGUGCAAGCGUUAUCCGGAAUUAUUGGGCGUAAAGAGCUCGUAGGCGGUCUGUCGCGUCUGCUGUGAAAACUGGAGGCUCAACCUCCAGCCUGCAGUGGGUACGGGCAGACUAGAGUGCGGUAGGGGAGAUUGGAAUUCCGGGUGUAGCGGUGGAAUGCGCAGAUAUCAGGAGGAACACCGAUGGCGAAGGCAGAUCUCUGGGCCGUAACUGACGCUGAGGAGCGAAAGCGUGGGGAGCGAACAGGAUUAGAUACCCCGGUAGUCC
rnacentral:rRNA from 1 species